ACAUGAAGCUGGAAUCGCUAGUAAUCGCAGGUCAGCAUACUGCGGUGAAUACGUUCCCGGGUCUUGUACACACCGCCCGUCACACCAUGGGAGCCGGAAAUGCCCGAAGCCAGUGACCCAACCUUAGGGAGGGAGCUGUCGAAGGUGGAGUCGGUAACUGGGGUGAAGUCGUAACAAGGUAUC
rnacentral:rRNA from 1 species